GAUGAACGCUGGCGGCGUGCCUAACACAUGCAAGUCGAGCGAACGGACGAGAAGAUUGUGCUUUUGCUGUUAGCGACGGGCGGGCGAGUAACACGUGGAUAACCAACUUCUAUUACUGGGAUAAUAUCGGGAAACCGGAGACACUACCAGAUAAUACUACGUACCGCUGGGUUCAAAAGUGAAUCACGGCUUUCGCGACUGUUAUAGCCGAUUUCGGGCUGGAUUAGCUAGUUGGUAAGGUAACGGCCUACCAAGGCAACGAUGCGUAGCCGACCUGAGAGGAUGAUCAGCCACACUGGAACUGAGACACGGUCCAGACUCCUACGGGAGGCAGCAGUGGGGAAUCUUGGGCAAUGGGCGAAAGCCUGACGGAGCAACGCCGCGUGGGUGAUGAAGGUCUUCGGGUCGUAAAGCCCUGUUAUUAGGAAAGAACAUAUGUAUGUGUAACUGUGCACGUCUUGACGGUACCUAAUCAAAAAGCCACGGCUAACUACGUG
rnacentral:rRNA from 1 species